rnacentral:piRNA from 1 species
CAUUUUUCCAUUUAACCAUCUCAUUGG